UCCAGACUCCUACGGGAGGCAGCAGUGGGGAAUAUUGGGCAAUGGGCGCAAGCCUGACCCAGCAACGCCGCGUGAAGGAAGAAGGCUUUCGGGUUGUAAACUUCUUUUCUCAGGGACGAAGCAAGUGACGGUACCUGAGGAAUAAGCCACGGCUAACUACGUGCCAGCAGCCGCGGUAAUACGUAGGUGGCAAGCGUUAUCUGGAUUUACUGGGUGUAAAGGGCGUGUAGGCGGGGACGCAAGUCAGAUGUGAAAACCACGGGCUCAACCUGUGGCCUGCAUUUGAAACUGUGUUUCUUGAGUACUGGAGAGGCAGACGGAAUUCCUAGUGUAGCGGUGAAAUGCGUAGAUAUAAGGAAGAACACCAGUGGCGAAGGCGGAUGACUGGACGGCAACUGACGGUGAGGCGCGAAAGCGUGGGGAGCAAACAGGAUUAGAUACCCUGGUACAU
rnacentral:rRNA from 1 species